rnacentral:rRNA from 1 species
CAGUCGCCGCGGUAAUACGUAGGGUGCAAGCGUUAAUCGGAAUUACUGGGCGUAAAGCGUGCGCAGGCGGUUAUAUAAGACAGAUGUGAAAUCCCCGGGCUCAACCUGGGACCUGCAUUUGUGACUGUAUAGCUAGAGUACGGUAGAGGGGGAUGGAAUUCCGCAUGUAGCAGUGAAAUGCGUAGAUAUGCGGAGGAACACCGAUGGCGAAGGCAAUCCCCUGGACCUGUACUGACGCUCAUGCACGAAAGCGUGGGGAGCAAACAGGAUUAGAUACCCGGGUAGUCCCUGUCUCUUAUAA